UUAAAACUCAAAGGAAUUGACGGGGACCCGCACAAGCGGUGGAUGAUGUGGAUUAAUUCGAUGCAACGCGAAUAACCUUACCUACCCUUGACAUGUACGGAAGCCCGCUGAGAGGCGGGUGUGCCCGAAAGGGAGCCGUAACACAGGUGCUGCAUGGCUGUCGUCAGCUCGUGUCGUGAGAUGUUGGGUUAAGUCCCGCAACGAGCGCAACCCUUGUCCCUAGUUGCUACGCAAGGGCACUCUAGGGAGACUGCCGGUGACAAACCGGAGGAAGGUGGGGAUGACGUCAAGUCCUCAUGGCCCUUAUGGGUAGGGCCUCACACGUCAUACAAUGGCCGGUACAGAGGGUUGCCAAACCGCGAGGUGGAGCCAAUCCCAGAAAGCCGGUCGUAGUCCGGAUUGCAGUCUGCAACUCGACUGCAUGAAGUCGGAAUCGCUAGUAAUCGCGGAUCAGCAUGUCGCGGUGAAUACGUUCCCGGGUCUUGUACUCACCGCCCGUC
rnacentral:rRNA from 1 species